rnacentral:rRNA from 1 species
UACAGAGGGUGCGAGCGUUAUUCGGAUUCACUGGGCGUAAAGGGUGCGCAGGCGGCCGUGUGUGUGAGGCGUGAAAGCCCGGGGCUUAACCCCGGAAUUGCACCUCAAACUACACGGCUAGAGCAUUGGAGAGGGUAGCGGAAUUCACGGUGUAGCAGUGAAAUGCGUAGAUAUCGUGAGGAACACCAGAGGCGAAGGCGGCUACCUGGACAAUUGCUGACGCUCAGGCACGAAAGCGUGGGGAGCAAAAGGG